AUUGAACGCUGGCGGCAGGCCUAACACAUGCAAGUCGAGCGGUUGAGGUAGCUUGCUACCGAUACAGCGGCGGACGGGUGAGUAAUACAUGGGAAUCUGCCUGGUAGUGGGGGACAACGUUUCGAAAGGAACGCUAAUACCGCAUACGCCCUACGGGGGAAAGGGGGGGAUCUUCGGACCUCUCGCUAUCAGAUGAGCCCAUGUCAGAUUAGCUUGUUGGUGAGGUAAAGGCUAACCAAGGCGACGAUCUGUAACUGGUCUGAGAGGAUGAUCAGUAACACGGGAACUGAGACACGGUCCAGACUCCUGCGAGAGGCAGCAGGGGGGAAUAUUGGACAAGGGGCGCAAGCCUGAUCCAGCCAUGCCGCGUGUGUGAAGAAGGCCUUAGGGUUGUAAAGCACUUUCAGUGGGGAGAAAGGCCUUUUACUUAAUACGUAAGAGGAUUGAUGUUACCCACAGAAGAAGCACCGGCUAACUCCGUGCCAGCCGCCGCCGUAA
rnacentral:rRNA from 1 species